UCGGCAUUUAACAUAUUUCGAUUCCAUCGAAUAGGUGUUUUACUCUCGCAGGGCGUUCAACAUAUUUUUCGUAUUUUGUUUUCAAGAAAUAAACCUUUUUAUCUAUAUCUAAUGAAAUCAAUCAGUAUGUAAACAUUUUUAAAUAUUCCACGAUGUGUAAUGUCCGUAUAAUGCAAUGUUAUUGGGAGCCUGACAUAAUAUGCUAUGGUGCAUUUAUUGUUAGACACACAGGUCCGCCUUAGUCGUUGUAAUAUUUCUCUCAUUCGAAUUCAAGUUCUAUAUUUGAGUAUGAGACGAGCUCGCACAUCGAAUGUGCUAUCUAAAUUAAUAUCUGGAUCGAUAGAGUGUACCUAGUAUAACUAGAAAUACAUUAUGCAUACACGCGUGUACGUAGUCGUAAGGUAAGGGUAAAGAAUUACGAAAAACAAGAAUAAAUCUCGGUCCGUACGUUGUUGACGUAGAAGGUAAAAAGGUGAGCCAAAAAAACGGGGACAAAAAAUGUAAAUGAUAUUUCAUAAGUGUAGAGAUAUAACUAUACGUACGUUGAUCGUGCCGUAUAUAUUAUACGAAGUUAUAUACUUGCGUAUAUCACAGAUAUAUCCAAUCACACGCUAUGUGCAUGAUUGUGCGCAUUAAUUUCAUCCUUAUACCUACCUACUUUGCAAUGAAGUUUGCAUUAAUGAUGGAUUGAAAAAAAAUUCAUGAAAAACCCGAAUAAAAAUUCGCUGAUCGUAUGCAAUUUGUAUACGCAUGUGUGUAUGUAUGAUUAAUAUUAACGAGCCAACAUCGUGAUGCAUGAGAUGACAGGAAAAUUAUCGUUUUUCUACCUCUGGGUAACCGUACCAUACACAAACUACCAUAAUGCAUAUUCUUUUACGAUAUGGAAGCGCUUUUCAAAACUCAAAGGAACAUCAAUUAAACCUAACUUAUAGUUUACGCAGUGAAGAUACAAAUAAAUAUUUCCAUGGAAUUGAUGAUAAUGCAAACUAUUUAUCGUUCAUCCCUAUGCAGAGGGUAUUUUGCAUUGUUGAUAUUUCUCAAAAAUGUCGAUGUUAUAAACAGAACCUACGUUUCACCGAAGCAUUGACGAUCAAGAUGCCUGAAACUUUCUUAUAAAUCGUAAAUCGGUAUCCAUACUUGCUUCGUUGCGCUUGGUUGCACACCCCAGAGUUUUAUUAUUACUUGAGAGGCUUUGACCACUCCGGGAUUAGUCAUGAACAUUUUGCUGCAUACAACGGGUUGAAGAAGCCUUUUAAUAGUGCUUCAGGUGCAAGGACUGUUCGCAACAUGUUAUAAAGAAUUAAAAUCCCUGAGUCAAAUAAACAGAAUAACGCAACGAAAAGCCGUGCGAACGGAUGUACGGUCUGCACUCUUACGUAACCCAUGAACCAGCAUUACCAUACCUACUAACCUUCUACACAGACACUCCAGGUUCUUUUGGUACUCAAUCUUUAUCACUUUCCAGUGCAUGCAUAUAUAUUUGAGAACAUCAUUGGACGUUAUAUCUAAGACGGAUGUCUUACAUGUAAAACAGAAAAAUAUUGUACAGGGGGUUCUCCAGGUCUUCAAGGUUCCGCAGACAUCCUGGCUUACGAGACUACUGCGCAUAAGCCAAUUCAAAAAAGUUUAUAUAACCCGUCCCAAUUACGUCGAUUUACCAUUCGGCUCUGCACUUGCGGAUUCAAUCAGGAUUGGAUCAGGCCAAGAUUGCCCGGCGGGCUUCGAGUGUCCUGCAGGUAUACUUGGUCAGCCAUGACGGUCAAAACAAAAAGAGAAACUUGGAACGGCGUGGCCAUAGCGCCGUUGGAUCUCGUUCUCCCGGUACCCCGCCGACCCUUCGGACACAGUGGCCAGUGGCCGGCGGCUGUUCUUACGGGUACUCCCACUUCAGCUCUCCUGCGUAGAUAGAGUUACGUAACCUUCGCGGUGCUUGGUCCAACCUGGUCACCGGCCAACCGAGUCUGGAUGUAGGUGAGUGUACGUGUAUACUGUCUCUAUCCAUACGUACAGGUAGGUACCGCAUCAUCCACUAUUUGCAAAUUGUUGUUCAUUGGCCUCACGAUCCGAUUAUACAGUUGAUAUGUUGAUCGAAGAAAAAUUCCUCUCAUUUUUCCAAUUCUCGCUUCAUGAGGGACAUUGAAAAAAUAAACUCGACUUCGGGAAGUUCGAAAUAUUAAUCCUAGAUUGUCACGUGCUGUCCACGUCCAGAAUUUUGUCGUGAAUGAGGUUCUCUGCUGAAAAUCUUGCCCCAGCCUUUACAUCGGCAUCAAUAAAUCAGAUGGAAGUGGAUCAUAAAUUAUAAUGAGGCUGAACGUUGGUAACAUUAACCUAACGAAAUGUCGGGGAAAAAUUGUUACAGCGCAAUUUUAGAAUGGAUUUUUAAGGAGCUGGUUUUUCAAAAUAAAAGUAUGUCUUGGUUA